GUUGUUUGUAGAGGUCAUAAUUUCUCUAUAAGACAUCACAGAGACUGUAAGACAUCUGGAUCAUGGGCCUCAGUACCUGUAGCCUGGGAUUCUUCUGGCAGUUUUGAAGUGAAGGAUAAGUCCCUUCUCCAGGGAAGAGAACUCAAAUCCUGUACCAUGGCUGCAUUUCUCUGAAGAGUGAAGAAGCACAGGAAGCAGGUCCAGAUUUUUAAAGGAGGUGGUAGAAAGCACAUCCUCUCCUAUACUUGCACCUUUCAGAUUAAAUUUUUAU
rnacentral:lncRNA from 1 species